rnacentral:rRNA from 1 species
UACGUAGGGAGCAAGCGUUGUCCGGAAUCAUUGGGCGUAAAGCGCGCGUAGGUGGCUUCGUAAGUCCGUUGUGAAAGUCAAAGGCUCAACCUUUGAAAGCCGAUGGAUACUGCGGAGCUAGAGUACGGAAGAGGCGAGUGGAAUUCCUGGUGUAGCGGUGGAAUGCGCAGAUAUCGGGAGGAACACCAAUAGCGAAGGCAGCUCGCUGGGACGUUACUGACACUGAGGCGCGAAAGCGUGGGGAGCGAACAGG